CGUGACGGUGCCGGGGUGGGAGAGGCGACGGCUAUGUGAAUGAGGCCUAAGGCCUCAUUCACACAGCCGUCGUUUCUCCCAUCCCGUCACCGUCGC
rnacentral:pre_miRNA from 1 species